rnacentral:misc_RNA from 1 species
GAUGAAGAACGCAGCGAAAUGCGAUAAGUAGUGUGAAUUGCAGAAUUCAGUGAAUCAUCGAAUCUUUGAACGCACAUUGCGCCCCUUGGUAUUCCAUGGGGCAUGCCUGUUCGAGCGUCAUCUACACCCUCAAGCUCUGCUUGGUGUUGGGCGUCUGUCCCGCCUCUGCGCGCGGACUCGCCCCAAAUUCAUUGGCAGCGGUCCUUGCCUCCUCUCGCGCAGCACAUUGCGCUUCUCGAGGUGCGCGGCCCGCGUCCACGAAGCAACAUUACCGUCUUUGACCUCGGAUCAGGUAGGGACACCCGCUGAACUUAAGCAUAUCAAUAAGCGGAGGA